rnacentral:lncRNA from 1 species
AAGCCAAGGGCCCAAGUACAUGCAACCUCAGUGCUGUGCUCCAAGCACUUUACAAGGGACUGCUUCACCAGCAGUGGCCGCAAAAGGCUCACGCGAGGAGCAGUCCCCUCUGUAAAGGUGCAUGAGCCCAGGCUCAGGUCCUUGGUGCACCCAGACUUCUUUGAAGAUUCCAAGACGCAAGACAUACUAGCAC